rnacentral:hammerhead_ribozyme from 1 species
CCACUUCUGAGGAGUCCCACAAUAGGACAAAACGGCCGUCCAGUGC